rnacentral:rRNA from 1 species
UAGGGAAUCUUCCGCAAUGGGCGAAAGCCUGACGGAGCAACGCCGCGUGAGUGAUGAAGGUCUUCGGAUCGUAAAACUCUGUUAUUAGGGAAGAACAAAUGUGUAAGUAACUAUGCACAUCUUGACGGUACCUAAUCAGAAAGCCACGGCUAACUACGUGCCAGCAGCCGCGGUAAUACGUAGGUGGCAAGCGUUAUCCGGAAUUAUUGGGCGUAAAGCGCGCGUAGGCGGUUUUUUAAGUCUGAUGUGAAAGCCCACGGCUCAACCGUGGAGGGUCAUUGGAAACUGGAAAACUUGAGUGCAGAAGAGGAAAGUGGAAUUCCAUGUGUAGCGGUGAAAUGCGCAGAGAUAUGGAGGAACACCAGUGGCGAAGGCGACUUUCUGGUCUGUAACUGACGCGGAUGUGCGAAAGCGUGGGGAUCAAACAGG